rnacentral:rRNA from 1 species
UACGUAGGGACCGAGCGUUGUCCGGAUUCAUUGGGCGUAAAGAGCUCGUAGGCGGCUGCUCAAGUCGAAUGUGAAAACUCGAGGCUCAACCUCGAGCCUGCAUUCGAUACUGGACGGCUUGAGUAUGGGAGAGGGAUUUAGAAUUCCAGGUGUAGCGGUGAAAUGCGUAGAUAUCUGGAGGAAUACCGGUGGCGAAGGCGGCAUCCUGGACCAUUACUGACGCUGAGGCGCGAAAGCUAGGGGAGCAAACGGG